GACGAACCGUGCGAACGUUGUUCGGAUUCACUGGGCUUAAAGGGCGCGUAGGCGGGCUCGCCAGUCGGGGGUGAAAUCCCACGGCCCAACCGUGGAAGUGCCUCCGAUACUGCGGGCCUGGAGGGAGGUAGGGGCGUGUGGAACUUCCGGUGGAGCGGUGAAAUGCGUAGAUAUCGGAAGGAACGCCGGUGGCGAAAGCGACGCGCUGGACCUCUUCUGACGCUGAGGCGCGAAAGCCAGGGGAGCAAACGGG
rnacentral:rRNA from 1 species